rnacentral:rRNA from 1 species
UAGGGAAUCUUCCGCAAUGGACGCAAGUCUGACGGAGCAACGCCGCGUGAGUGAAGAAGGAUUUCGGUUCGUAAAACUCUGUUGUUAGAGAAGAACAGCGCAUAGAGUAACUGUUAUGCGUGUGACGGUAUCUAACCAGAAAGCCACGGCUAACUACGUGCCAGCAGCCGCGGUAAUACGUAGGUGGCAAGCGUUGUCCAGAUUUAUUGGGCGUAAAGCGAGCGCAGGCGGUCAAUUAAGUCUGAUGUGAAAGCCCCCGGCUCAACCGGGGAGGGUCAUUGGAAACUGGUUGACUUGAGUGCAGAAGAGGAGAGUGGAAUUCCAUGUGUAGCGGUGAAAUGCGUAGAUAUAUGGAGGAACACCAGUGGCGAAGGCGACUCUCUGGUCUGUAACUGACGCUGAGGUUCGAAAGCGUGGGUAGCAAACAGG